rnacentral:rRNA from 1 species
UACAGAACGCCCGGGCUUCGGCCUGGUUAUUCAUAACCCUUUGUUGUCCGACUCUGUUGCCUCCGGGGCGACCCUGCCUUCGGGCGGGGGCUCCGGGUGGACACUUCAAACUCUUGCGUAACUUUGCAGUCUGAGUAAACUUAAUUAAUAAAUUAAAACUUUUAACAACGGAUCUCUUGGUUCUGGGCAUCGAUGAAGAACGCAGCGAAAUGCGAUAAGUAAUGUGAAUUGCAGAAUUCAGUGAAUCAUCGAAUCUUUGAACGCACAUUGCGCCCCCUGGUAUUCCGGGGGGCAUGCCUGUUCGAGCGUCAUUUCACCACUCAAGCCUCGCUUGGUAUUGGGCAACGCGGUCCGCCGCGUGCCUCAAAUCGUCCGGCUGGGUCUUCUGUCCCCUAAGCGUUGUGGAAACUAUUCGCUAAAGGGUGUUCGGGAGGCUACGCCGUANAACAACCCCAUUUCUAAGGUUGACCUCGGAUCAGGUAGGGAUACCCGCUGAACUUAAGCAU